ensembl:lncRNA
GAUACUGUUUAUAUCAGCUAUGGGCAACAGAUCCACUAUCAGAACUCUGUAAUACUCAUCCACUAUCAUCAGAACCCUGUUAUACUCAUCCACUAUCAACAGAAUCCUGUAAUAGUGAUCCACUAUCAUCAGAACCCUGUAAUAGUGAUCCACUAUCAUCAGAACCCUGUAAUAGUGAUCCACUAUCAUCAGAACACUGUAAUACUGAUCCACUAUCAUCAGAACCCUGUAAUAGUGAUCCACUAUCAUCAGAACCCUGUAAUACUGAUCCACUAUCAUCAGAACCCUGUAAUAGUGAUCCACUAUAAUCAGAACCCUGUAAUAGUGAUCCACUAUCAUCAGAAACCUUUAAUAGUGAUCCACUAUCAUCAGGAAACUGUAAUAGUGAUCCACUAUCAUCAGAAACCUGUAAUAGUGAUCCACUAUCAUCAGAAACCUGUAAUACUGAUCCACUACCAUCAGAAACCUGUAAUACUGAUCCACUACCAUCAGAAACCUGUAACAGUGAUCCACUAUCACCAGAACCCUGUAACAGUGAUCCACUAUCACCAGAACCCUGUAAUAUUGAUCCACUAUCAAACCUGUAAUAGUGAUCCACUAUCAUCAGAAACCUGUAAUACUGAUACACUACCAUCAGAAACCUGUAAUAGUGAUCCACUAUCAUCAGAAACCUGUAACAGUGAUCCACUAUCACCAGAACCCUGUAAUACUGAUCCACUAUCAUCAGAAACCUUUAAUAGUGAUCCACUAUCAUCAGAAACCUGUAAUAGUGAUCCACUAUCAUCAGAAACCUGUAAUACUGAUCCACUACCAUCAGAAACCUGUAAUAGUGAUCCACUAUCAUCAGAAACCUGUAACAGUGAUCCACUAUCACCAGAACCCUGUAAUACUGAUCCACUAUCACCAGAACCCUGUAAUACUGAUCCACUAUCACCAGAACCCUGUAAUACUGAUCCACUAUCAUCAGAAACCUUUAAUAGUGAUCCACUAUCAUCAGAAACCUGUAAUACUGAUCCACUAUCAUCAGAACCCUGUAAUAGUGAUCCACUAUCACCAAAAACCUGUGUAAUAUCGAUCCACUACUUGUUUGAAUCUGUUCCUGGAUUCUGA